rnacentral:lncRNA from 1 species
AUGGAUGAAUUUAUUUUUUUAAAAAAUAGUAUACCUAUUAAUAAAUACUUUUUGUUCAGUAAGGUGGUAGAAGUAGUAUCCAUUAGAUUGCUUAAGAUAUCCUACAAACCUGUAUUUAUCUGAUUUAGAACUUAACUUAUAUUCAAAAAAAAUUGAUAAGCAGGACAUCCCUAAAUUUUAAGAUGUUUAAGAUUCGACGUCUUUCCCUUUCAUAUCUCAUACGGAGUGCUAGCAA